GACGAACGCUGGCGGCGUGCUUAACACAUGCAAGUCGAACGAAGUGGCGAACGGGUGAGUAACGCGUAAACAACCUGCCCUUCAGAGGGGGACAAGAGUUGGAAACGACUGAUAAUACCGCAUACGGAAGAAGGGGAUUGCGUCUGAUUAGCUAGUUGGAGGGGUAACGGCCCACCAAGGCGAUGAUCAGUCGCCGGUCUGAGAGGAGGAACGGGCAAAAUGGGACUGAGACACGGCCCAGACUCCUACGGGAGGCAGCAGUGGGGAAUCUUCCGCAAUGGACGAAAGUCUGACGGAGCAACGCCGCGUGAGUGAUGACGGCCUUCGGGUUGGAAAGCUCUGUUAAUCGGGACGCGGUACCGGAAUAGAAAGCCACGGCUAACUACGUGCCAGCAGCCGCGGUAAUUC
rnacentral:rRNA from 1 species